UACGUAGGGUGCAAGCGUUGUCCGGAAUUAUUGGGCGUAAAGAGCUCGUAGGCGGUCUGUCGCGUCGGCUGUGAAAACCCGGAGCUCAACUCCGGGCCUGCAGUCGAUACGGGCAAACUGGAGUGUUGCAGGGGAGACUGGAAUUCCUGGUGUAGCGGUGAAAUGCGUAGAUAUCGCUUGGAACGCCGAAGGUGAAAACAGGUCGCUGGGGAUGUGCCGACGCUGAGACACGAAAGCCAGGGGAGCAAACGGG
rnacentral:rRNA from 1 species